rnacentral:rRNA from 1 species
GACGGACGCUGGCGGCGUGCCUAAUACAUGCAAGUUGAGCGCUGAAGGUUGGUACUUGUACCAACUGGAUGAGCAGCGAACGGGUGAGUAACGCGUGGGGAAUCUGCCUUUGAGCGGGGGACAACAUUUGGAAACGAAUGCUAAUACCGCAUAAAAACUUUAAACACAAGUUUUAAGUUUGAAAGAUGCAAUUGCAUCACUCAAAGAUGAUCCCGCGUUGUAUUAGCUAGUUGGUGAGGUAAAGGCUCACCAAGGCGAUGAUACAUAGCCGACCUGAGAGGGUGAUCGGCCACAUUGGGACUGAGACACGGCCCAAACUCCUACGGGAGGCAGCAGUAGGGAAUCUUCGGCAAUGGACGAAAGUCUGACCGAGCAACGCCGCGUGAGUGAAGAAGGUUUUCGGAUCGUAAAACUCUGUUGGUAGAGAAGAACGUUGGUGAGAGUGGAAAGCUCAUCAAGUGACGGUAACUACACAGAAAGGGACGGCUAACUACGUG